GCCACAGUUCACCAACAGUUUAGUUCAACUGUCAUUUUAACGGCCACCAUUUUGUCACAUCUUUCUUGGGGCAAAUGUUGGCAGUACAUAUUUUAUCCUUUCUCCCCAGCGGCCUUCUCGCAGCCAUGUAACGAACAGAAGCUGGAAAACUGGACGUCUUCUCAAUCUGAUAUUCAUGCAAGCAAGUAACAACAAGGUCAAUUUGCUCAGAAAGUCUGUCACGCAGGCAUUCCCGCUUGUGACGUGUGUGCGAGCUGCACAGGCUCGUCAGUGAUGACGGGGCGAAGGAAAUGAGGCGUUGAGGUGUGAAAGGAAGAAAAACUUUUCUUCUGUCCUUUCACCUGAAAAUGCCGCCCAUGCAGCAGCUGAGGUCAGAAAGCGCGCACAUAAUAUACAGACACACACAAACUCAUAUGUAAGUUAAAAUGUACACGCACACCUCACUGUUCUGUAGAUGCAUGUGCACACACUCAGACAAAUAUGCCCCAUAAACACUCUUUACUCUAAAUCCGGUCUCUGCAGUCGUUCAU
rnacentral:lncRNA from 1 species